CACAGGAGAAGGGUUUUUGUCUGGAGAUCUCUUCUUUUGGAGUAUCCUGUGGGCCCUGAUCCUUGGGAUGGGCAUGUGAGCAGUAAUGAGUUCUUCAGAAUGGGAAGAGAACUCUGCUGGAGUGAAUUCCCAGGCAGCACAGAGCAGCUCACUAAAAUGCAAGGAAACAAUUGCCGAACUUCCAACUUAAAAAGUGAAGACCCAGAGCUGUUGGCAUUCAAUGAAGUUGAAGGAGACUGACUCCAUGCCCUGCAAAUAGGUGCAUUCAGGUGGUGACUGAUGAAUAUGGAAAGGUUGGAAGUGGCUGCGGAUUGAAGCAAGCUGCAUUUUCUCCUAGUGCUUGCAUUGACCUUCUGGGGCAAAACUGUCCCUUCCAUGUUCUGUAAUUGUUCUGUUUAUGUAGCAGUUUUCACUUUCUCUUUUUUUAUUUCCUUUUCUUUUUCUCUUUUCUGUUGAGUUUCUUAUACUGGUUCCACUUCUCAGGUCAUACAAAGACAUUCAAUCACCACACACUGAAAUAUGGAAAAUAUGAUUUAAGAACUGUUUUAUCUAAUGCCACCUUUCAAAAACGUGGUUGCCUUGAUAUUUCUGACUUCCUCUUCUUUGGAGAAAUUUAUGAGGUGAUACUGUGAAACAUUUUUUUCCUUUUUGUUUUAAGUGUUUCCUUCUUAUCACAUAUUUCAGAAAGGAUUUUGAAACAUUUCCCUGUAAGACUGACCUUUCUGAGCAGUGGCUGGCAGAUAGCGUUCUUUGAUAUCUUCUAACCUAAUAAUCCAGCUGCCCAAGGUGGGUUUAAAAUGAAAUCCUUGUUCCAAUAAUAGAAUUGCUACUUUAAAAUAUACAUGAAUGGGACAUGGAGUCAGCCUGGAAUACCACAAACCCAGUACAGAAUUUCUUCUUGUCCCCUGCGUUACAUUACUCCUCUCACCUCCUUUUCCUUCUGUAUUUGACUGUGUGCUCUAAUAGAACCCAAACAGCAGUGGUAAUGUAAUGCCAUGGAGCAGUUUCUUUAUAGGCUUAUGUACCAUUUGUGCUCAUUGAUUAAAUUGUCUAGAAAGUUGAGAAAUUUCAGGAAAAAUUCUCAAGUUAACAUCACCAGGGCAUAAUUGAAAAAUUGCCUGAGAAUCAUGGAUUUAUAGUAAUUUUGUUGGGGUUUGUGCUUGGUGAACCAUGUACACUUAUGUUCUUUCAUGCUUUUCUUCAAAUAAUCACAAAAAUGUACAAAGGUUUAA